GCUCUAAGGCAAAUAACAAAAUGGCGGACUUAAUGGAUGCUAUGAUAGCCCUUUUAUUUAGCUAUUUGAAAAUUUCACCGAGUCUCCUUGUUGGAUUUAGAACUACCAGCGCCAGUGUACAUUAUCUGGAUUUACAGUACGUGCGAUCAGGAAGAAACGAGACCUAGCCACUGUAAGUUGUUGAUUGGUCAGGUUGCCUGACGCAACGGCAUGUGACGCAAAACGAACACUCCUCAUUGGCUGGACAGAUGGAUAAGAGGACGUAGGUGCGUGUAGUAAAGUCACUACCCGGAACUUGGAUUUGGAAGCAAACGUCUCUGUUGGAAGUACUGAAGCCUGCUUCUGUUCAAGUACUCUACUUUCGAAAAGGUAAUUUGUGAUUUCUUUCUGGUUGUGGUUAUACCUUAAAGGAGAAUUCCGUCUGUUUUGCAAAUAUGUCUCAAACGUUUGUGGUCAAGGAAAGUUGCUAAUGAUGCCUUUGUUUUCACAGAUGAGUUCACAGACAAUGCUAUUGAGGUUGUGCCAUCUUCAUGGCUUGGACACACUUCUGAGCAUGGCAUGGUCUGCUACUGGACGACACACAAUGUGCAAUUGCAUGUUGUGAAGUGCCGAGCACCAAAUACAACUUGGGCCAAACAUCCCGUUAAGAAAACCUGGUACGAAACAGGUGAGCUAUC